CCUACGGGUGGCUGCAGUGGGGAAUAUUGGACAAUGGGGGGAACCCUGAUCCAGCCAUGCCGCGUGUGUGAAGAAGGCCCUCGGGUUGUAAAGCACUUUCAGUGAGGAAGAACGCCUGGUGGUUAAUACCCAUCAGGAAAGACAUCACUCACAGAAGAAGCACCGGCUAACUCCGUGCCAGCAGCCGCGGUAAUACGGAGGGUGCGAGCGUUAAUCGGAAUUACUGGGCGUAAAGCGCGCGUAGGUGGCUUGAUAAGCCGGUUGUGAAAGCCCCGGGCUCAACCUGGGAACGGCAUCCGGAACUGGCAAGCUAGAGUGCAGGAGAGGAAGGUAGAAUUCCCGGUGUAGCGGUGAAAUGCGUAGAGAUCGGGAGGAAUACCAGUGGCGAAGGCGGCCUUCUGGACUGACACUGACACUGAGGUGCGAAAGCGUGGGUAGCAAACAGGAUUAGAUACCCCUGUAGUC
rnacentral:rRNA from 1 species